rnacentral:lncRNA from 1 species
CGUCAUGAACGGGGAGGAAUGUCCGGGGUGCAAAUAGAACGUGUGUCUCAUUUCAGAAGAAAUGAGGCGACGUUGCGGAGGUCCAGGCGGUUGGCCCGGUGGAGGUCCUGGAGGAGACGGUCCCGGCGGUGGAGGUCCAGGCGGAGGUCCAGGCGGUCCUGGAGGAGACGGUCCCGGCGGUGGAGCUCCAGGCGGUCGGCCCGGUGGAGGUCCUGGAGGAGACGGUCCCGGCGGACCGCCAGGACCUCCAGGUCCAGGCGGUUGGCCCGGUGGAGGUCCUGGAGGAGACGGUCCCGGCGGUGGAGGUCCAGGCGGUUGGCCCGGUGGAGGUCCUGGAGGAGACGGUCCCGGCGGUGGAGGUCCAGGCGGUCGGCCCGGUGGAGGUCCUGGAGGAGACGGUCCCGGCGGUGGAGGUCCUGGCGGUCGGCCCGGUGGAGGUCCUGGCGGUCGGCCCGGUGGAGGUCCUGGAGGAGGCUGGGGGAUCCGGCGGUGUUUAGCUCCUCAUCCAUGGAAGCAGGGUUGAAGGAGUCACUGGGGAUGAAGAUCACUGCUCAGGGGCUGACGCCCCCCCCCCCCUCAUCUUUCCGGAGAAGCGUCCUCAUGGUGCAGGCGGUCAAGCAGCUGGAUGACUGA